rnacentral:rRNA from 1 species
GAUGAACGCUGGCGGCGUGCUUAACACAUGCAAGUCGAACGGAAAGGCUCCUGCUUGCAGGGGUACUCGAGUGGCGAACGGGUGAGUAACACGUGGGUGAUCUGCCCUGCACUUCGGGAUAAGCCUGGGAAACUGGGUCUAAUACCGGAUAGGACCACAUUUUGGAUGGUGUGGUGGAAAGUUUUUCGGUGUGGGAUGAGCUCGCGGCCUAUCAGCUUGUUGGUGGGGUAAUGGCCUACCAAGGCGUCGACGGGUAGCCGGCCGGAGAGGGUGUACGGCCACAUUGGGACUGAGAUACGGCCCAGACUCCUACGGGAGGCAGCAGUGGGGAAUAUUGCACAAUGGGCGCAAGCCUGAUGCAGCGACGCCGCGUGGGGGAUGACGGCCUUCGGGUUGUAAACUCCUUUCGCUAGGGACGAAGCGUUUUUGUGACGGUACCUGGAGAAGAAGCACCGGCUAACUACGUG